GUUUAUAGAAAAAAAAAGUCACAACAAAAAAUUCAGCUUGCUUCCUUCAACUUCGGGCAAAUACAUUUUUAUUUGCCUGAAGCACAAGGAAGCAAGAUGAAUUGUAAGUGUAGGAUCCACUUAAGAGAUUUGCCUUGACGUGGCAGGUGGACUUACAUCUAAUGCCCACUGGUGUUACUAAAUAACCUCCAUUUAUUUAAGUAUCCAUAGGGAUUUGGGCUGGUGCGCAGGUAACUC